rnacentral:rRNA from 1 species
UCGCCUGCAUGAAGUCGGAAUUGCUAGUAAUCGUGGAUCAGCAUGCCACGGUGAAUACGUUCCCGGGCCUUGUACACACCGCCCGUCACACCAUGGGAGUCGGUAACACCCGAAGCCUGUAGUCUAACCGCAAGGAGGACGCAGUCGAAGGUGGGAUUGAUGACUGGGGUGAAGUCGUAACAAGGUAAC